AAACUUAAAGGAAUUGACGGGACCGCACAAGCGGUGGAUGAUGUGGUUAAUUCGAUGCAACGCGAAAACCUUACCACCUUUGACAUGUACGGAAUCCUUUAGAGAUAGAGGAGUGCUCGAAAGAGAGCCGUAACACAGGUGCUGCAUGGCUGUCGUCAGCUCGUGUCGUGAGACGUUGGGUUAAGUCCCGCAACGAGCGCAACCCUUGUCAUUAGUUGCUACAUUCAGUUGGGGCACUCUAAUGAGACUGCCGGUGACAAACCGGAGGAAGUGGGGAUGACGUCAAGUCCUCAUGGCCCUUAUAGGUGGGGCUACACACGUCAUACAAUGGCCGGUACAGAGGGUAGCCAACCCGCGAGGGGGAGCCAAUCCCACAAAGCCGGUCGUAGUCCGGAUCGCAGUCUGCAACUCGACUGCGUGAAGUCGGAAUCGCUAGUAAUCGCGGAUCAGCAUGUCGCGGUGAAUACGUUCCCGGGUCCU
rnacentral:rRNA from 1 species